GCUCAGGACGAACGCUGGCGGCGUGCUUAACACAUGCAAGUCGAACGGAAAGGCCCUUCGGGGUACUCGAGUGGCGAACGGGUGAGUAACACGUGGGUGAUCUGCCCUGCACUCUGGGAUAAGCCUGGGAAACUGGGUCUAAUACCGGAUAGGACCACACACUUCAUGGUGAGUGGUGCAAAGCUUUUGCGGUGUGGGAUGAGCCCGCGGCCUAUCAGCUUGUUGGUGGGGUAAUGGCCCACCAAGGCGACGACGGGUAGCCGGCCUGAGAGGGUGACCGGCCACACUGGGACUGAGAUACGGCCCAGACUCCUACGGGAGGCAGCAGUGGGGAAUAUUGCACAAUGGGCGCAAGCCUGAUGCAGCGACGCCGCGUGAGGGAUGACGGCCUUCGGGUUGUAAACCUCUUUCAGUAGGGACGAAGCGAAAGUGACGGUACCUACAGAAGAAGGACCGGCCAACUACGUGCCAGCAGCCGCGGUAAUACGUAGGGUCCGAGCGUUGUCCGGAAUUACUGGGCGUAAAGAGCUCGUAGGUGGUUUGUCGCGUUGUUCGUGAAAACUCACAGCUUAACUGUGGGCGUGCGGGCGAUACGGGCAGACUAGAGUACUGCAGGGGAGACUGGAAUUCCUGGUGUAGCGGUGGAAUGCGCAGAUAUCAGGAGGAACACCGGUGGCGAAGGCGGGUCUCUGGGCAG
rnacentral:rRNA from 1 species